GUAGGUGGCAAGCGUUGUCCGGAAUUAUUGGGCGUAAAGCGCGCGCAGGCGGUCCUUUAAGUCUGAUGUGAAAGCCCACGGCUCAACCGUGGAGGGUCAUUGGAAACUGGGGGACUUGAGUACAGAAGAGGAAAGCGGAAUUCCAAGUGUAGCGGUGAAAUGCGUAGAGAUUUGGAGGAACACCAGUGGCGAAGGCGGCUUUCUGGUCUGUAACUGACGUUGAGGCGCGAAAGCGUGGGGAGCAAACAGGAUUAGAUACCCUGGUAGUCCACGCCGUAAACGAUGAGUGCUAAGUGUUAGGGGGUUUCCCGCCCCCCUUAGUGCUGCAGCUAACGCAUUAAGCACUCCGCCUGGGGGAGUACGGCCGCAAGGCUG
rnacentral:rRNA from 1 species